rnacentral:lncRNA from 1 species
AAAAGACCCCGUGGGGCAGGACCCACACUGGUCUUGGGCAGCACAUUCCCAGCAGAGCCUCCAGCCCUGUGGCCCCCUGCCCUCAUUCCAGGAUGAAGGACCCUUCCUGUCUUCCCCUCCACUCAGACAUGGGCCACAUGCCGGAAGUGGAUCUUUACUCCAUGGCGUUCAGAGAGAAGGCUCUAGCCCCACGAGGAAGCGGAGUUCCUCCCUCCUGGUCUUCAGGGGUCCCUCUCUGGCCUCACCAUGUCCCCGUAGCCACGGCGUCUGUUUGGGAAGACUCUCAGCCCAUCUUCUUCAUGGUCCCUGCACUAACGUCUGCUGUAACUGGUGUCCCUCCUCCGAUUGGCUGAGAAGUAACUAACCAGACGGUUAUAUCAUACUUUAUGUAUCCCUUCACCUGUUGAUGGCCACUUGGCUUAUUUCCAGUUUUGGAGUAUCAUGAAUACAGCUGGAAAGAACAU